rnacentral:lncRNA from 1 species
GCUCGAGAUCUUCCCUUUCUGCCAACCCUGCCCGGCUGCUGGGUUUCCAGCCUUCCCUGAUCAUGUAGAAAGGAGAGAAAGUGAGAAAGGGAAUUUGUCAGAAUUUUCAUUUUGCUGACAGUGAAUUUCUGAGUCUUAAAAGAGUGCAAGAAUGGUUUAUCAUCCAAGGCUCACAGUCAGCCAGAAACAUAUUCCAAUGAGCCAUGGACAUGGAGGAUUUUUUAAGGUAUAUUUAUUUAUAUAUUACUUAAAAUCUUUCCUUA